AUACGGAGGAUGCGAGCGUUAUCCGGAUUUAUUGGGUUUAAAGGGUGCGUAGGCUGUGCGUUAAGUCAGGGGUGAAAUGCCGUCGCUCAACGACGGAGCUGCCCUUGAUACUGGCGUGCUGGAGUACGGAUGCCGUUGGAGGAAUGAGUGGUGUAGCGGUGAAAUGCUUGGAUAUCACUCAGAACGCCGAUUGCGAAGGCAUCUGGCGAAUCCGUCACUGACGCUGAGGCACGAAAGCGGGGGGAUAGAACAGGAUUAGAUACCCUGGUAUUCCACGCCGUAAACGAUGAUGACUAACCGUCGGCGAUAGACAGCCGGUGGCCAAGCGAAAGCGAUAAGUCAUCCACCUGGGGAGUACGUCGGCAACGAUGAAACUCAAAUGAAUUGGCGGGG
rnacentral:rRNA from 1 species